UUUUCAUUAAUGGAAGUUUGAUUUUCCCUGUUGUUCAUAUUCCUGAAUGUAAAUCAAACACUGAAACAGUAACAAUUUUCCGUCCCUCCUCAGUCUUAACAGUCGCCGUCUGGGACGCUGACUGGCAAAUCGGCUCACAUAGCACCGAGCAAACGUGAGGUCACAUUCCACUUCUGUCCAUCGCUCACUUCUUCAAGUGUUGCAACAAUUCCCUUUUUAUUUACAGCACGAGGGAACAGUCGU